UGUUCACUGAGUGUGCUGGAACGCAGUUAGUCGGUCAGAGCACGCUCCAUUCGCUCUCCCAUCUGCCAGUCAAAGGCUGUAAGUCUGAAGCCGCCGGAAGAUUAUAGAGAGUGGGUUUCACUGAGAGAGGGAGAGACACUUGACUGACAGUACCCCCUCUGAGCAGACUGUACACUUUGCUGACUAAACUUUAACCGAGGAUGCACAUUGUUUGCAGCAAUCCAGAUGUCAACACCAACAAAAAAAACUUUUUUGUUGGGAAGAGAGAAAGUGAGAGCACAGCAGCCUGUGGAACCGAGGACUCCAAUGGUGACAUUGGUGGUCUCCUGCUUGUACAGUCAGGACCGUUUCCAGUCUCAGGAGGACAGAAUCUUAAAUGGAAGCACUACCUCAACCAACCGAGAAACAAGAAUGCCCUCCUGGAGCUGAUCUGGGCUGUGUGCUGAGGUUUGGUGUCUUGUACACAGGCAAUAAAUCAAUGAAGUUUCCUCCUCUUCUGAAGGGAUGAGCUUGAAACACUCCUCAAACUUCACUGGCAUUUCCUACUUGUCAGCAAGUCCAGAGAUCUCUGGAAGACAAAACAAUGGAAGGGAGAUGAGAAGCCCCUGCAGAGAAGUCUCAGCAGGCUGUAGUUGAGCCUGAUUUAAUUACUGUCGAAUGUUAACCAGAAUGCCUACAGUCUCAUGCCAAUUAGGCGGCGAAAGAUGAAUGUGCAGAUAAAGGAAUAAAAUGAAACCUGGAAUCAGAAAAACAAAGUUCAGAAGAGGAGAACAGAGGAAACUUUCCAGGAUAAAUAGGCAGGAAAAUCUGCAGAGUUUAGAAAUUAUUGAUGGCAGAGAAACUGAUUGUUACCACUGCUAAAUGGAGGCACUCACUGAGAUUAUUUCGAAUAAAUCCAUGAUGUUAACAGCUCUGGAGGAAGACUAAAAAGAGGAGACAAAGAAGAUGAGAGCGUGAGGAUAGGAGGAAAGAAUGAAUGAAUGACCUCCCUGAUGUUAAGUGGGAUAAACACACAGAUCUUCUAAACGCUGAUCAAAUCGAACUGUGUUCUCUUGCUUUCAUCCACCUCCAGCAAGAAUUUUCAACUAAAAUGAUUGUCAUUUACCCAACGACUGGAAGGAGCAGUUAUCACCAGCAGCUCAAAGGCUGAACUGAUCCUGGCAGGUGGACUGCAAUAUCUCAUUGAAACACAGCUGAAUGGAGAGUGAAAUGGUCACUCUGUGAAGGUGAUGCACCAAGAUAACAAGUGGCCAUGAUAACACCCUGUGACCAGCUUCGAGAUGCCUUGGAGUGCUGACUUGGAAUGGUGGAGAACGCGGCCUAGCAAGACAGAACACAGCCUGACGAGCCAACAACAUCCAAUGCCAGAAGUUGAAACUGAGAGCUAACAGAUGGCCCUACAUGUGCACAUACAGCAACUAGAUCGCAGUGUGUUGGUGUUUUGGGUUUUAAUAUUAUUUUUAUUAUUGUUUUGGAAAAGCUUUUAAUUUGCCCCCCCCUUUGGUCAGAUUUUGAGUUGAGAAGAUGCAGUGACUUUUUUGCAAAUUCAUUUAAAAUGGCAACCAAAGUGAAAGGCGAUCUCUACUUCGGGAGCUUUGGACUCUGUUCACAAUUUGCACAAUGGGUGUGAACCUGGGUGUGUCGAGAGAAGGGGAAUAGAGGAGGGAGGAAGAGUGCGGGAUGGAUGGUAUUAGCGCCAAGGGAAAGGAGAUAAAAAGAAAUGAGGGAGAAGCCAGAUGCAUACAGAUGUUAAAACUGCAAAGCCAGCUGCCACUAACCCGUAGAUCCGAACUUGUGUUUUGCAUAUCCCACAAGCUCGUGUCUAUAGGUCUGUGUCUACAUGGUAAAAAAACAACAAGAUUUCUCCUCAGCAAUAAGUGAUCAACUCGGGAAUAUAAAGACAUCUUGUGGUGAUUCUCAGCCUCAGAUCAUCCCAGUUGUGAGGCUUAGACCAGGGGCUGGGGAGGGGAGGGUUGUGGAAGGCCCUCUUUUCCAAACUGUAUGUGCAGAGGACCCAAGUCAGAGUGACGACCACAUGAUAAUCGCAUCAAACUGUACAGGAUUGGAACAGGCCAGUUAUCCCACCUGUCCAUGCUAGUGUCCGAGCUUCACAAGAGCCUCCUCAGUAACUGAAGCUGAGAGAGGCUAACUUUAAAUCGAGUUCUGAGGAAGGGUCACCAGGCCCAAAAUGUUAAUUCUGAUUUAAUGCUUUCCCAGCAACUUCUGUUUUUGUUUCUGAUUUACAGCAUCCACAACUCUUUUAGUUUUUAUUUAAAUCCUGAGUUUCUUCUUUUACAGCAGGGUGGGGCUGGCAGUGUGAAAGUCCUAACCCGUGAGUCAGUGAUGCAGCUGAGCUUCCAGCAGUGAACUCCCUAACAAUAAUUGACUGUUUAACCAGUCCUUUACUCUCUUCUGGAAAUAGUGACCCAAAAGCCAAUAGUGAUUUACUUUCUGAGGCCUUUGGAUGAAAUCUGUUUGAAUUCCCACGAGGGACUAACCAUGAAAGUAGGAAGGGACAUGUGUUUCAGGGGAGAUGUGGGGCCAGGCACAGACUGCUACAACAAGCCCACCUGACAGUAUGAUGUCUCUUGAGAUUUAUAGCUUCUUGACAGUUCAGUAAAAGGUGUAGUUUCACUGAAGACAGCAUAGUUGUAUGGAUCCUUUCUUGGUGUGGAAAGAAGGACAGGAAUUGAGUUGAGAUUGUUAAUGAAAAGGAGAGGGGAGAUCAGCAAAUCAUGGAUCCUGGAGAUUUGAAGCAAGCUGUUAUUUGGGUGGUCCUGUAUUCCUAUCAGUGGCAUUGAGAGGCGUGUUGCAAGAUCAAUUUUUCUUAAAAUUAAUACUAAAAAAACCUAGCUGUUAUUGUGUACUAACUAAUGUGUGUGUGUGUCUGCCAUUGGGUGUACAACUGUCUGGAUUUGUAAAAUUGAAUACACUGAGGCCAUGUUUAUGGAUUUCUCCAUUUUUCUUCUUCUCAAGGUGUGUUUGCAUCAUCCAGCUACCCCUUUAGAAAGUAUAGUCAUGUAGAGAAACAGCCAAACUUCGGACUGAUACUGCACUUUCCAUCCCCCUUGUGCUCCUUCUCCUCUCACCUAUCCUCUUGCAUCCUUUAAUGUCACCACUUCUCCACUCAUCCCUACCCAACUCUCACCUAUACCUCCCCACUCACUGCCCCACCCUACCCUUGAUUCGCCACCCCCUCCUCUUGUCACCCACCCCGACAAGACUUCUCUUCGAACCUCUGAUGCAGGAGUCGAUGGGCUAAUUGCUGUGUGCAUUCAGGCUGAGGUAGUAGGUUGUAUAGUUUAGAAUUAUACCAAGGGAGAUAACUGUACAACCUCCUAGCUUUCCCUGGGGCAUGCGUACAACAGCAGCAGGGGAAACCAAUCAUGGACAAUCAACCCCUGGGAAAAUAAACCCCCCACUGUAAUGGUAAGCACAUUGGUUUGCUCUCCAGGGUUGAAAGCCAUCAAGUCUGUCUGUAUGUAUCUGGCUUCCUGUUAGAAAGAUGCUGGGGGAGUGAUCACUAGCAGAUCUUCAAGACGUUCAUUUUACAGAGGAAAGUGUCGGUGUUUAAAGUGACAGUAUUUAAUAAUCCUUUGUUCCCUGCAGGUCUCUCUAUUGCUUGACUCAAGGCAUAUUGUUCUAACAGUGGCAUUCUGUUAGUGUGUAUCAGUUUUCUUUGGGGUGGGGUAGUGAUCCUAUUUGAUGGAUGUGUUGGUUUUCCGAACUUCACUUUUUCACUCUGUGUCUCCCCAUUUCCCACUAACCAGAUACCAGAGACCUGGUAGACCAAUACACCAUCAACCGUACUCAUCAACCAUGUAAAUCAGCACAGCUGUGUCAGACUCCAGGCUGGUGUUGAAUCAAGUAUUCUCCAUCAAGCAGGUGCCCUGCAAUUAGUCCUCAUCUUUUAGCCCUCUACUUAAAAAUAACUACCUUCUAACCAAAUUGCUGUCCAAUAAUCCUGUUAAGAUCUAGUGUGCUAAUUAUUUGAGACAUAACAGGUGGUGAGUAUAACAUGGUUUGGGGUGAACAGAUAAUUUUUGAUCUGUUCCUGAAACUCUCCCACCGAUGGAUUUGAGGUUGGGUUUGUUGUAGACUCAUUGAUCCUGAUAGCGCUGUUGCUUACACUCAAUCAUGUGACGAUCAGGAAUUUGAACUAGAUAGAUGCAGGCCCCUUUUGUAUGGCAGUUCCUGUGUACAUGAAUAUUUGGUGAAUGCAGCCAAGAUUAGAUUGGCAUGGUAUCUCCUCCCAUGUUAACCGGCUCAGUGUCCAGUCUGUCAUGUCUGUUCUGGCAACAUUUCACCCAGUCAGUUUCAACAUCACCAACUUAUUUUUACAGAGCACCUUGAACUUGGCUUUUAAAAGAACCUUGGUGCUUCAAGAAGGGUAGAUCUAGAAAUAAAUAGCUUUUGUUGAUAACAGUGACCAUGAGGCUACUGGAUUGUUAGGAACAAAAAAAAACUAACAGUUCCUUUGGUCGUUUAGGGAAGAACAGCUGCUGCUGUUACCUAUUCUGGCCAAUAUGUAACUCCGAAUCACAUCAAUGCAAUUGACUUUUAACUGUCCUCUGUGACAGCCUCGUAAAACAGAAACAUCCGUGAUGACCACAUUCUGAGAAUGAAACUCCAUCUUUGUGUCAAAGGGUCCAGUAGAUGGGAUUCUGUUGAAAUCAAAUGAAAGAGAAAAGAUCCUUCCAAUGACUUUUACCUCCUCCUCCUCACAAACAGAAAUGGAUGUAUGAGACAUUUGGUUAGAAUUUAAGGCAUGCUUAACCCAAGAACAGUAGAUUUCCAAAAAUGAUAAGGUACAGAAAUGGGAUGUUGUAAAUAUUGAUUCCUGGCAUGACAGUUAUCCUUUUAGAGAGAGAAUGAGCAAAAUGAGUUUUUACUCUCCACAUUAACGGGAAGUAACCUAAUUGAAACCUAUAAAAUUCUUUAGAAGUUUGGCAGGGGAGGUGCUGAGAGGUAGUUUGCCCCCUGCUGGACAGUGUAGAAUCGGGGGUCACAUUCCCAGGACAAGGGGUCAGAUUGUUUCGCACUGAGAUGAUGAGAAUUUGUUUUCUCUGAGGUUUGUGAAUCUUUGGAAUUGUCUAUCUCAAGAGCUGUGAGUAUUCAAUUGUUAAAUAUUUUCAAGGCUGAAAUUGGUAAAUGUUUGCAUGCUAAAGGCUAUGCAGAUAGGCUGGGAGUUGAGGUCAAAGAUAAAUUGUAGAGUUAUUCAACUGGUGGAGCAGGCUUGAGGGCCUGAAUGCUCGAUUCCUUCUAUUUCUUUUGCUGUUAUAAAGCUGAGUUUCAUGUAGGACUAUUGAUUAGUGAGGGAAGCUGUUUCCAAUAUCAGAGCAAGUGAUGCGGUACCCUGAGUUAUGAUGAUUUGUUUACUUAGUGAGGUUUCAUUUGCUCUGUGCCCUCAGCGGAAUUCUGUGAGUGACUUGUUCUGUCACUGAGGCUGAGAGUUACCACAAAAUGUUAUAAAGAACUUCAGUUGAGCAUAUGUUUGAUCCAGGAGAUUACUCAAGAAAAAAUGGGUUUGUACAACAUUUCUUGAUGCAGCAUCCAUUGGAAAUUGUUUAACAAAUCUUUCCCCUCUAAAGUCACUUCCACUUCCCCGGUUACCCCAUAUUCUUCCCCAGGGAAUGCAGAUUCUGGCUGUGAUUGUGAUCAAUGGGUGUCAUUGUAAGAUGACCUGUCCAAGUCACAGCUAUUGAGUCCAAAUUGUUGCAGAGUGUCUUCGGAGUAGAACAUCAUAAACAAAGCCUGACCCAAGCCUGUGGAGGCUAAUUGUGGCAUUCUCACAGUUGCCCACUGCAGUGAUAGAUGCUAUAGUCAGUUCCACACUCGGCAAUGCACUUAUCCAUGGGAACUAUUGGGUGACAAUGGUGAAUUUCAGCAAAAUUGGUACAACUUCCUUUUUCCAUGUUUAAAUAAAAAGGAAAGGAUUGGCUAUGAAAUCACACAUGGAAUAAUAAGAAUGCUUAAUAUUGGCAGCAGAAAUUUGUCUCCUCCAUCUGCUGACCUAUAAGACUCCUCCCACAAUGCACCUUUCAUUUAUCACGGCAAAGGCAGAGAAAUAUUUUAAACCGGAUUGAAUCAUAAGGUAAAACAAAGAACUAUAAAUCCUGGAAAUGUGAAACACAA